rnacentral:lncRNA from 1 species
GCGCUUCAGUGAAGUUCAUGCGAUUUCAUUCAAAUAAUCAUUAUUCUACAUUUACUGUAAGACACAAUAAUGACGCAAAAAGUUACUCGUACAUAGGAGAAUAUCAGUGCAACACCUGCAGACGAAGGAAAGCACGGCAACAUCGCUACCGCUUGUAGAAUUAUGCAGUGACAAAAUAACAUUAAUCAAAUCAUGCCCGUCGAAUGAAGACUAGUGCAGUCAACAAAAAGAUGGUAACAUUUUUAUGCAAAAAAAAGUUGCAAGCGCAUGAUCAGUUCAAAGUCUC